UGCCAGCCGCCGCGGUAAUACGGAGGGUGCAAGCGUUAAUCGGAAUCACUGGGCGUAAAGCGUGCGUAGGCGGUUCGGUAAGUCAGAAGUGAAAGCCCUCGGCUCAACCGGGGAAUUGCUUUUGAAACUGCCAGACUUGAGUAUUGGAGAGGUAAGCGGAAUUCCAGGUGUAGGAGUGAAAUCCGUAGAUAUCUGGAGGAACAUCAGUGGCGAAGGCGGCUUACUGGACAAUUACUGACGCUGAGGUACGAAAGCGUGGGGAGCAAACAGGAUUAGAUA
rnacentral:rRNA from 1 species